UUGUCAUCUUAGGUCUUGUUUUAAAAUAUAUAUUAUUGAAUGUAAAUAAAUUACUGGAUGUAUCACCUCUACAAUGUUUUAAGCGUGCGUGUUAAGGCUUUAUGUGUGCAAGAGGUCUAGGGUUCGAGUCCCCCUUGCCCCAGACCCAUUUUUUAUAUUGUUUUUUUUUUGCCUAUUUAUUUUUGUUAUUUUUGAUAACUUCAAAGGCUCAUAACUUGAU
rnacentral:lncRNA from 1 species